UCGGCCCUAGCUUUUACGCCGCUGUGCCUCUACCACGAUCCCACCGUGAAAGGUGGUUGGAGCCGCACCCCAAAGAGGCUUUUUGGCUCUUUUUCGCGCAGAUUUAAAGGCGUCUCAAGGUAUUUUCUCUUUUUUUCUUUUACUUUCCGUACAGAAAUAAAUAAAUAAAUAAAUUUAAUCGAAUCGAAAGAAAAAAAAAACAAAGAAAAUAAAUUGCUACCUUUAAUCUCUAUUUUUAUUUUUCUUUUCUCUUAUUGAUGUUGUGAAAUACUUGUUUUUUUAUUGAUUUUCCAAUCCUUUUUUACAGAUUUUCAGUGGCUUUUUAUAGCCGUAGUGAAACAAGAAAAUAAAGAGAAAUCCAUUCUAUUAUCUGCUUGAUUUGCGAUUUUUUUGAUUUUCUUGCCAUUUUGUUGCCUAUACUGUUUGUUGCCUUUCUUGUUGUGCAGGUACAGGCUUGGAGGAGGUGCGCGCGUGGAGACUCGGCUCGUGCGGAGGGGCUUGGCUGCGGCGCUAGAUGCUACUGUUGCUGCCCUAGGGUUUCUGAAAACUGUUUUGGGCAUUUGGGCCACAUUGUAAUUGGGCCACUGUUUUUAGAUUGAGUCUGAAGUUUGGGUUUUGUAAUUUGGGCUUGGUGUUGGGUCGUUUGUUAUUUCGGACUGAAUUAGGUUUGGGCUUAUUUUUACUGUAAAUGGACUGGACGUUUUUUAUUUAUUUUUCUUGGUUUUUAUAUUUCAAUCGGGCCCGGGCAAAUUGGAUUAUUACAAUGACUCCCACCACAACAAUGAUUGAAACCCC
rnacentral:lncRNA from 1 species